AACGGCCAUACCAUGCUGAAUAUACCGGUUCUCGUUAGAUCACCGAAGUCAAGCAUCAUUGGGCGCGGUCAGUACUUGGGUGGGUGACCACCUG
rnacentral:rRNA from 1 species